CCUUCCCCCAUUCAACCUCAUCAUCUAAGCUGGUGAUAAGCUUUUGCUUAUGAUUUCGAGACUUGGAAUGAAAAGGUAUAUCUCCGUACUUCGACCCUCCACCACCGACAGAAAAUUCAGUUUCCUGAACUUUCCUGUUUAAGAAGCUGUUUUUUUCGAUGUCCAAAAAGUGCUUCUUUGGCAAAGCAGAUUCUGACUCUUGGCUUUCAUUAGAUCUCUUGGGG
rnacentral:misc_RNA from 1 species